GCACUCCCUCGGCACAGCACGAAAAGCCGCGCGACUCCAACUCGCAGUCAGUCCUCCCAGCUCCCCUGAAGACUCCACUAACAAGCUGCUACAGGCCAUCAGUAAGUCCAAUGUGUAUGGCCAAUACAAGUUAUUGGCUGAGGCCCUAUACCUGUGCGAGGAGCUGGUGGAGAUGCUGGCCAUGCUGUCUGGGUGCUGGCCCGUGCACAGGAAGAUUGCAACUUCUUAAAGUGGUGGUGGCGGUGACGUUGGUCGGAGCCAUCCUCCUCCUCCCUGAUUUGCCAUACACAUCGAGCUUGGAAAAAGAGACCAGCAUUGGUACAAAGUUGCCACGUGGGAAAUCACUGCUGUCGCCUGGCAAUGUCAGUGCCUCGAAUAAAGAGGCAGGGGCAAUGCACACACACAAGGAUUGGGGCAUUAUUCAAAGUGACUGCGUGGCCAAUCACGACCUCAUAGACACGGAUUGGUUUAAAUCUGUAGGUGACCGAUUCAAAGGUAAUUUUAGUACUCACUCGUUUGUCCACUUUUCCAUUGACUCACUCAUUCACUCACCCACUUCUUACUCAACCAUUUACUCACUCACCCAGUCACCCACUCAAUCACUCACCCUAUCACUCACACACCAACUCACACAAUCACGAAAGCAACAACAGCUUCCAUUCGCCACUAAGUGGCGUUGAUGUCACCAUGGCACUUGUACCAGAGCAGGUGAAUUCCGAGGCCACGUAAAGUGUCGAAGGCUCGCUGACAGGAGGUCACAGGAU